AUGGGAUGGAGAUGCAAAAGUGUUUUUGACAAGCUGUUGCACAAUAAAUGUAUAGUACAGUUUUUGCACAAUGGAAAAUUGCUAUUUAUCAUUAUUAAAAGAGCAGAAAAAAAUGUGUGGGUAAUAACAGACAGUAAUCUUGGCUGUUGUUUUUAGUUCUGAGGGAGACUUAUAUAAUGCACACAAAUUCACAUUAAAGUGUCUGAGGUCAGAGGUCAAAAGAAUACCCUGAAUUCUGUUUUUGGUUAAAUUUAUGGUCUUUGGAAAUUGCAGUUUGGCUAUUUGGAUAGUCCAAUGUCAAUAGUGCUACAAUAACUGUGCGUGAAACAUCGUCAAUGCAUCACAGAUUUCUAUUCGUUACCCGAUAGCUUGUAGUAUCCACAUUAGACUAACCAAGUGUUUUUUGAAAAUGAAAACUGAAAAUGCAGCUGGAAUUCAUGUGAUUUCAAGUCAAACCAAUUCUAAACAUGUUUUUUUUACAGUGUUUGACAAACUUGUUAUGACUACUCGACUCACCCCAUGACCACAAGAGAAACAGUAACAGUAUUGACAACAAUACAUCGGUCAUAAUUGCUAGAGCAUUUUAUAAGAUAGUCAAGUGAUGAUGCUGAUAAAGAGGUGGAAAACAAAUAAAAUGCAUGUGGUAACUUUGGGCACGACAAAAAACAGAUGUGCAUUUUGGAGUGGUCUUAACGUUGAUCACAAACCAAACCACCUUCCUCUCUUGUUUUAUUCGUAGUUUGUCAUAUAGAGCAACACAGCCAGACAAUGAAUUACGCAGUGGAAAUGGAGGCUCAGUCACAAAUUGCCUUUAUCCAGCAGUGCUGUCAUUUCAAUGACUGAAGCUCCCAUUGCUUGUGGUUAUAAGUUCAGAAAGCUGCUUACAACACAUACAAGUCCGGCCACAAAGCAGGGAUAUGGGCGAUAUUGCUUCGAGACACAUUCAGUCACAGUAAAAGUCAAAAUAAUACGAUCAGUGGAGGCUUAGAAGAUAAAUGCACAAUCACGUAGGACUGCGCUGCUCUCUGCAGGUUUAAACCUCCAGGUUGGUUGCAUCUCUGCCCAGUGAUGUCAUCAUAGCAGGUGCUUUCUAUCAGCUGCCAAAGACAAAUGAAAUGGUUUGACAUCACUGACUGGGAUGUGUGAAGAUGUGGAAUGGGGGAACGUCUCAGCCCACAGAGAGCAGAACAGCAGCUGUCUGAUUCACUGAUGGUUUACCCUUUAAAUACAGAACCACACGUUGCUGUGUUGUCACGAUAUAUAAGGCUUUGCUGCCACCUAGUGGACAAAAACCCAGUUUGCCAGGUUUAACCAAACAUACCGCAAUGUAUUAUACACAUUCUGGGUGGAUUUAGACAUGAGCUACACCUCAGUCAUCCAGUCAAUGUACAAAUCGUUUACAUUUUUGUAACAAACUAAAUUGUGCAUUUUGCCAAUCAAGAUCACUUGAUGAGUAUCUAUUAUUUUUGCUCCUGAGUAAAUCCACCCUUUUGUCAUUUUAUGUAAAUGUUUGGUGCUCUAGCACAGGUCAUACUACUGCCCAUUGUGUGGGCUUUCAGCCACUUGUACCAGCUGCUAAUGUGUAUGUGCAUGUGUGUAAGCACAGGCCUUUUCUUUUCUUUUUUUGCUUUGGCAUGUUAAUGGGUUUUUAUGUGUGAAAGAGAGCUUGUGUUGACACAGGAAUGCAGCAUUAACUGAAAUCCUGAGCAAAAAAGUUGGCAACAUCGGACACAAAGGCAACAUAGCAGGACAGUUCGAUGCUUUCAGUGUGUGUGUAUGUGUGUUUGUGUUAAAACUCUGCAUGUGUGGGGCUGUUAUGGGUAUUGGAUUUAUGUCACACUAGUCUAAAAUAAGCUGUUAUAAUGGCUGCUUUACUGCUGUGACUAAACAUGCAAGCACGCAUGAGUGUGUGUGUUUGUGUAAGACAUCAUGGGCACAAAGUUCUCUUGGCACACCUGAAGCGGCUGAGGACACACUUUUGACACACUCUGAGAUAAUAAAACACCGUAUAAAUAUCCAGUCACAACACAUGAGUGAUAUACACUUGUCUGUUUUAAAUAAAUAAAUAAAUAAGGACUUGCAAGCAAGUAUAACUGGGUCUAAGCACCCUACACAUUUCAGAGCCAGAGGCUUACCAACCAGAGCUCAUUGGGAAACAAAGAGCAUUUGUCCUCUUUACAAAAAUAAAAAAAUGAAAUAAAAAAACAAAACUAAGAUAUGAGAAAUUUCUAAAGCUUACAAAGGCAUUUGGAUUUUAGACAUCACUUAAACAACCUGAAAUAAUGUCUACUCAAGUAUGCAGAUGAUAUAAAAGUAGCAAAUUACAGACUGAAUUGUAUUUUCUUGUUCUGCCACUUUUGGUGGCAAAGUAUUUAGAUAGAAAUGUAAAAGCAGUCAGAUUUUAAAUUGGAGAUCACUACUUGUGAUUUCCAAUUCGUGUGGCUAACUAGCUACAUGAACAAAAUGACAGAACCUUCCAAGCCACGGUAUUACAAUGAGACAAAAUAACAAACUGAAUGAUUGGGAGUUAGUGUAAGCAACAUGUUGCAAUGAAAU
rnacentral:lncRNA from 15 species